CCAAUGGACAAGGUUUUUUCCUACUCUUCUUUCUCUUUCGUCUCCUUCACCGAGGGAUUAACUUUCUCCCCUUCUCUUGUUCUCUUCUUUCUCCUUGGUCUCUUUAGCCGAUUAACUUUCUCUCCUUUCUCCUUUCUAUCCUCCUCCCGUUGCUUCAUUCUAUUCGAUCUUCAUCUUGUCGUUGUUUUCAUCCUCUCAAGUUUUUUGAUCUGGUACCAGAGCAUUUUUGCGGAUCUCAGAUCCGAGAGCGAAGCUCGUCAAUACGAUGCUGACCGUGAUGUAAACUAAGGAAGAGAAGAGAAGCUCACUCGUCGUAACCCUCUCGAUUUUCCUAUCAUCAGAAACCCUUGAUGACACCGAGAGCGAAGCUCGUCAAUGCAAUGUUGACCGCUCCUAUUUUGGCGGCUUUGGUUGCGCCACCGGAAAGGUGCUCUCUGUUAUUUUUUCCUUACCUUCCAAUUUUCAGAUAUAUUUUAGGGUUCAAAUGAGUUAAAUUUGAUUACUUGCUUGCGCAGGUGAAAAUUCUUCUUCUUAUUCUUCUCCAUUUUUCUAUUCAUCAGAUAUAUAGUUAGGUUUAUAGCCCUAUUGAUUGAUUUGUGUUCUGUGAUAGGUGAGUAGGAUCAUAGAUUUGUGCUGCAUUAAUUUGGGUCCAAACUAAAAUCUGAAUCUUGUUGUAGGACAUGCAAGGUCAUGUUCUUUGUCUGUUCGUUGCAAGGAUGCUCAUGGUCACCAUGCUCAAGGGCUCUCAUGUUUAAACCAAUGCAGCAUCCUUCGUUGUAUCAACCUGUUAAGAAGCUACAGAGAUCAAUUUUCGCAUCUAACAGUUAGGAUUCCCUUGUGUUACAGAUUCACAUGGACACUAUUGAAGUCAGUAACCUGAAUAGGCAAUUUCUAUUCCGUCCUUCUCAUGUUGGGCACUCCAAGGCUAAGUUUAGGUACAUGUAAGCAAAUUUCUUUCUUCUCCGGUUCAGCUGAUUUAUCUCUGAUGGUGUCAUUAAGCAACCUGAGCUCAUUCUCCCUCGCCUUAAGUUCCUUGAGAGAUGCUUCCAUCAGCUCAGCUUCCUUUCUCCUUGUCUCGGUCUCUGCAGUUUGCUUCAGGUCAAAAUCUUUAACAUUCAUCUCAAAAGCAAAAGACUUCUCUUAUGGGGAAAGCAAAGCAACAUCCUUUUCCCUCGCUUCAAGCUCAGCCAACCCUUGAUGUUUCUGCAUUUCCAUCAAGAUACCUUCAAUAUUUACUUUCUUUUUUUAGUAGUAUGAUGUAUUCUUAUUUUUAAUUAUGUUUUUAGUUUUAUUUUGUAAUAUAGUU